UAUGCCAGGCUGUUCACCUCCUCAGAGAGGGCAAUGGGGCUGGUCAAAGGACCCAGGGAUCACCUUUUCACUUUCCCCCCCCACCCGCAUGUCAGGCUCAGGUGAGAAACCAAGACCAGGCUGUCCAAAGCUCUUUUCAUGUGUAACAGCCCUGAGUCCCUUGACCUCCCCUUGGCCUAACUCUGGCCUUGGUUCCACUAAGGCAGAGUCCUCUUGUCUCUUCCUACCAUCUCCCACUGGACUGUGUCUCUCAGAAAUCCCAGGCAGCCUUGCCUCCUGACCUAAUUCCUGGAGAUACUGGUGUUCCUGGGAGGAAUUUCCCCUGCAUCUUAUGUGCUAGAAGUCCCUGGGGCAAGAGGUAGGGGGAGGAAUUGAGAGGAGGAAAAACGCGAACUCGAUACCUAGAGAAGAAGGAUGUGACUUGUAGUCUCCUAUUUCUAAAUUAGGAAUAUGAAUCUGGUUUUUCUACAAGAAACUUGAGAUCACAGCUGACUGUGUCCCUGAUGCAUCCACCAAACCCAGUUCCAUCUGUGGGCCUCCCUGGCUCUGUCACCAGCCCUUGCACCCUCCUGAUCACAGGAGUCACAAACCUCAGACGUGCAGCUCCUGUCCACACUUAAUAUAUGCAUGCACAUUGGAUCACCCAGCCCUGGUCUUUCUGCUUCCAUGGAUAACUGCAUGACCCUGAGAGCGCAAACCUCCUUAGAUUUAGCAUCCUAGGUUCCUCACAUGCCUCACCCUGAAACCUGGCGCUCCUGCAGCCCCAGCACCAUUUGUCCCAUCAGUGACCAGAUUCAUAUUCUGGUGUAGCCUCUGUUGCCGGAGCCAGUGCUGAACCGGAGCCUCUUCCCCGGGAAGUACCCGCCCUUCCCUCCUGUUAGGGUUGGCUCUCGAGCUUGUGUGCCAGUUCCUGGGUUGGCCGUGAGAGUUCUACAGACAAGGGGGAAGUGCUCUCGGUGUAUUUCCUGUGGUGGGUUCACAUGCAGCUAGACACAGCUAACUUGAGUCUUGGAGCUCCUAGAGGGGAGCUUCUGGAAAGGAAGGCUCUUCAGGACCUCUUGGAAGCCAGGUAGGAGUCUGGAACUACUAGUGAACCUAGACUUGUAGCUCUGGCCAGAGGGGCUAGGAUGAGAGACGGAGGGUGUGAUGGUGGGUGCUGGGAGAUGCAGCCGACCUUGGGGCUGGUGGCUGGGGGAGCCUGGGAAAGGCCAGGAUGUGGAUGGGCUGGUAUGGCAUUGAGCCUGAAAUGGUCCAACUUGGGGUCCCCAGUGCCUAGGAAAGUUGUCCCCUUGAAUAUUAGUGUGAAGGUGAAGGAGGAAGGAGAUGCCUGUUCAUAUGGAAACAAAGACCUGGCUGUGAAGGGGGGAGGUGAACACCAAAGUCCUGACACUUGGAUGGGACAGAAUUGAUCUGUGAGAGACUCUUAUCUAGUUCACACCUAGGUGACCCUGGGGGUGGCGUGGGGGUAGAGAUCCCAGUCUGGUAUCAUCUGGAGAGUAGGGGUCCCAAGAGCUGAAGGUUUCUGGCCACUGAACUUUGGCUAAAGCAGAGGUGUAACAGCUGCUCAGGAUUCCCUGGUUAAAAAGUGAAAGUGAAAUAGAGGAUGGGGGCAGUGCUUUCCCAGAAGGAUUGCUCGGCAUCCUGCCCUUCCCAGAAGCAGCUCUGGUGCUGGAGAGAGCACUGCCUCCCUGUGUGACUGGGUGAGUCCAUAUUCUCUCUUUUUGGGUCUCAGUUUUGCUUUCCCUAAUGAAGGGGUAAGAUUGGACUAGGUAAGCAUCUUAUAACCAUUUGUGGUCAUGAGAGCUGGGGUGGGGAAGGAUUGUCACUGGAUGACCCCCCAGCUCUGUUUCUGAGUGCUGGAAGAGCUCCAGGCUAUGCUACGGGAGGAAAAGCCAGCUACUGAGAAAAAGCGGGAGUGGUUUACCAUUCUCCUCCCCCACCUUUCACCAGAGAAGAGGACAUUGUCACAGAUAAAGAGCCAGCUCACCAGCUCCUGACACAUGCAUCAUGACCAUGAGACACAACUGGACACCAGACCUCAGCUUCUUGCGGGUCCUGCUUCUAUGUGCUCACAUCAUCACUUUUCUGGUCAGAGCCACACCUGUCUCGCAGACCACCACAGCUGCCACUGCCUCAUCUAGAAGCACAAAGGACCCUUGCCCCUCCCAGCCCCCAGUGUUCCCAGCAGCUAAGCAGUGUCCAGCAUUGGAAGUGACCUGGCCAGAGGUGGAAGUGCCACUGAAUGGAACGCUCACCUUAUCCUGUACGGCCUGCAGCCGCUUCCCCAACUUCAGCAUGCUCUACUGGCUGGGCAAUGGUUCCUUCAUUGAGCACCUCCCAGGCCAGCUGUGGGAGGGGAGCACCAGCCGGGAACAUGGGAGCACAGGUACGCAGCUGUCCAAGGCCUUGGUGCUGGAGCAGCUGACCCCUGCGCUGCACAGCACCAACUUCUCCUGUGUGCUCAUGGACCCCGAACAGGUUGUCCAGCGUCACGUCAUCCUGGCCCAGCUCUGGGCUGGGCUGAGGACAACCUUGCCCCCCACCCAAGAAGCCCUGCCCUCCAGCCACAGCACAGGGCCACAGCAGCCCACAGCAGCGGGGUUAAGACUCAGCACAGGGCCAGCAGCAGCACGACCUUGACCAGAGCCUGGGUCCUACCCGUCUACCUGAAGUGAACAGUCCCCGACUGCCUACAGGCUGUGUGGGCGAGCAGCGCACUCCCUCCUCCUCUGCUUUGGGUCCCUUCUCUCACCAAAUUCAAACUCCAUUCCCACCUACCUAGAAAAUCGCAGCCUCCUUAUAAUAAUGCCUCCUCCUCCCCCUGGCAUUUUCUCUCUACCGACCCAUUGGCUCUCCUAACGUCCUGCUCCUCACACUGCUCUACUGCUCAGAAACCACCACGACUGUUGAUGCCUUAGCCUUGCACUCCAGGGCCCUACCUACAUUUCCCACAUUGACUUUCCGGACGCCUCCAACUAUUCUUGCUUUCCCCAGACAGCUCCCACUCCCGUGUCUCUGCUCAUUUAGUCCCGUCUUCCUCACCGUCCCAGCAGGGGAACUCUGAAGCCUGGUUGAAACGCCACCUCUUCAAUGAAGUCGCCCUUGUUCAGCUCUGGCCACAUUCUGCAGACUUCAUGUCUUCUUGCUACCUCAGCUUUCCCACUGUAACACGGACUGGCUGCUCAUCCCUGCGUGCUCCUGACUGAGUGCCCAAUGCAAAGACGCCCUUGAGAGGAAGUGGGAAUUGCUGCCCUGCAGCCCCUGUCCCGGCAGCCUGACCUUGGUCAUGGUGAUGUUGAUGAUCUGUGUGGUGCGCCGACGAGCAGAGCGGGUCUUACGACCUGAGUCCAGGAAGACAUCUCCUAGGGAGUCCAGGCUGCUCUCCAGGGGGGCCUGACUCCGAGCAGGGAUGGGAGUGAAGUAGAGACUCUCCAGGGAUUCUACCUUGGGGGGCAGGCGCUGGGAGAUAGGUGAGGCUGGUUCUCCAGGGACGCUGGUGCCGUCUGGCUGGGUACGAGGCAGCUUGCUAUGGAAAGGAAACCUGCUGAGGUACAGUCCUUUGGACUAGAAGGCAUUUUGUCCAGCCCUUUUCCUAAGUGACCAUUUCCCAUACUUACUACAAGCAGAUGAGGUCAAGCAGCCCAUCUCUCUGAUUUUUCAGAGGUACCAAGGAAAACCCUUGACCUGGGCCUUCCUUUCAGUCCACUCCCCUGGCUUCUCCUAAUACCUCCUCAUAGUGGCAAUGCCCAGACCCAGAUGUCCCAUCCUCACCAGAUGCCCAUGGCUGCUCCACAGCAAACACGUCCCAAUCUAAGCCCACUUCGCUGUUCUUCCUCCUUCAUCUCCCAUUUCAGUGAAUACAAGCACCCGCCACUCAGGCCCCCAAACCAUGAACAUGGGCAUAAUCCUAUGUUGUCCUGCUUGGGAAGCCCAAUCACUAAGCUUCCUGAACAGCUCUCCUAACCACACCCUCUCCAUGCUCAUGUCCUUUCCCUGGUUUGUCUUAUCUCCUCUCACCUAGACUCAUCAUGGCACUGACAGAGGCAGAUGAGUGGUGACAAGCAAGGACUCAGGCCAGGCUGCACAGGGUCAAACCCCAGCUCUACCACUGGGGGACCUUGGGCAAGUGACUGCCCCUCUAUGCCCCAGAUUCAUCUGUUAAAGGAGACAGAAUAAACCUACCUCAGAGGGUUGUUGGGGGAUGAAUCAGGUAUAAUUGUUAUGAGUGCUUUACGUCUAGCACAAAAUAAGUACAAUGUAAGUGUUUAAUAAAAACAAUAUAUAUUUCCAGUCUUAACUUCUA